GCAGAAAGAAAAUGGCUGAACUGACCGACAUCUAGUCACAGGUACUGAAAGAAUUGCUGCGCAGUUUUGGUUUUUAUUUCAUAGCAAUAUAAAAGCUGGGAAAUGUUGGAUGAUGAUGGUAAACAAGAGUCGAAUACACACAUUAAAGUAAAGUCACCAUAGCCCAAAAAGACCACAAGCUGCUCCCUCAUUGGACAAUGAUGACUGGUGAUGAGUUUAGCCGGAGGUUCACCUCGACUCAGAUGAGAGGAGAGGUUGAGAAGAUGACAACACCUGGGAGACCUUUGCUCAGGAGAAACUGACUUAGAGGAACCUCCUGUAUGAAGGGACACAGUUCUUCAAGAACGUCCGUCAGCUAAAGGAGGUAUGGAAAAGGAACCAGAGAAAGGAAUGCCAGCAAUCUUGAGGUCAAGGACUAAUUCCACCUUCCAGAAACACUUGGCAAAUGUGUUGUCAGAAAUGUGCCUCUAGGAUUGGGCUCAUUCGUCUUGCAAAGACCUGUGGAAACCAUGACUAGUGACAUGGAAUUUCCUAGGUGGACAAUCAUACUCAUUAGUGGGUCAGUACUGACAACAACAACAAA